rnacentral:rRNA from 1 species
GUCGAGCGAACGGACGAGAAGCUUGCUUCUCUGAUGUUAGCGGCGGACGGGUGAGUAACACGUGGAUAACCUACCUAUAAGACUGGGAUAACUUCGGGAAACCGGAGCUAAUACCGGAUAAUAUUUUGAACCGCAUGGUUCAAAAGUGAAAGACGGUCUUGCUGUCACUUAUAGAUGGAUCCGCGCUGCAUUAGCUAGUUGGUAAGGUAACGGCUUACCAAGGCAACGAUGCAUAGCCGACCUGAGAGGGUGAUCGGCCACACUGGAACUGAGACACGGUCCAGACUCCUACGGGAGGCAGCAGUAGGGAAUCUUCCGCAAUGGGCGAAAGCCUGACGGAGCAACGCCGCGUGAGUGAUGAAGGUCUUCGGAUCGUAAAACUCUGUUAUUAGGGAAGAACAUAUGUGUAAGUAACUGUGCACAUCUUGACGGUACCUAAUCAGAAAGCCACGGCUAACUACGUGCCAGCAGCCGCGGUAAUACGUAGGUGGCAAGCGUUAUCCGGAAUUAUUGGGCGUAAAGCGCGCGUAGGCGGUUUUUUAAGUCUGAUGUGAAAGCCCACGGCUCAACCGUGGAGGGUCAUUGGAAACUGGAAAACUUGAGUGCAGAAGAGGAAAGUGGAAUUCCAUGUGUAGCGGUGAAAUGCGCAGAGAUAUGGAGGAACACCAGUGGCGAAGGCGACUUUCUGGUCUGUAACUGACGCUGAUGUGCGAAAGCGUGGGGAUCAAACAGGAUUAGAUACCCUGGUAGUCCACGCCGUAAACGAUGAGUGCUAAGUGUUAGGGGGUUUCCGCCCCUUAGUGCUGCAGCUAACGCAUUAAGCACUCCGCCUGGGGAGUACGACCGCAAGGUUGAAACUCAAAGGAAUUGACGGGGACCCGCACAAGCGGUGGAGCAUGUGGUUUAAUUCGAAGCAACGCGAAGAACCUUACCAAAUCUUGACAUCCUUUGACAACUCUAGAGAUAGAGCCUUCCCCUUCGGGGGACAAAGUGACAGGUGGUGCAUGGUUGUCGUCAGCUCGUGUCGUGAGAUGUUGGGUUAAGUCCCGCAACGAGCGCAACCCUUAAGCUUAGUUGCCAUCAUUAAGUUGGGCACUCUAAGUUGACUGCCGGUGACAAACCGGAGGAAGGUGGGGAUGACGUCAAAUCAUCAUGCCCCUUAUGAUUUGGGCUACACACGUGCUACAAUGGACAAUACAAAGGGCAGCGAAACCGCGAGGUCAAGCAAAUCCCAUAAAGUUGUUCUCAGUUCGGAUUGUAGUCUGCAACUCGACUACAUGAAGCUGGAAUCGCUAGUAAUCGUAGAUCAGCAUGCUACGGUGAAUACGUUCCCGGGUCUUGUACACACCGCCCGUCACACCACGAGAGUUUGUAACACCCGAAGCCGGUGGAGUAACCUUUUAGGAGCUAGCCGUCGAAGGUG